rnacentral:rRNA from 1 species
AACGAACGCUGGCGGCAGGCUUAACACAUGCAAGUCGAACGCCCCGCAAGGGGAGUGGCAGACGGGUGAGUAACGCGUGGGAAUCUACCCAGUUCUACGGAAUAACCCAGGGAAACUUGGACUAAUACCGUAUACGCCCUACGGGGGAAAGAUUUAUCGGAAUUGGAUGAGCCCGCGUUGGAUUAGCUAGUUGGUGGGGUAAUGGCCUACCAAGGCGACGAUCCAUAGCUGGUCUGAGAGGAUGAUCAGCCACACUGGGACUGAGACACGGCCCAGACUCCUACGGGAGGCAGCAGUGGGGAAUAUUGGACAAUGGGCGCAAGCCUGAUCCAGCCAUGCCGCGUGAGUGAUGAAGGCCUUAGGGUUGUAAAGCUCUUUCAGUGGGGACGAUAAUGACGGUACCCACAGAAGAAGCCCCGGCUAACUUCGUG